ACCAGUAGCCAUAUCAUCCUGCAGCCCAAGACUGGUUGCCCACUGAAGCUAAGUAGGGUUGAGCCUGUCAGUACCUGGAUGGGAGAUCUCCUGGGAAAACUAGGUUGCUGCUGGAA
ensembl:rRNA 5S_rRNA 5S ribosomal RNA